AUGAACAAAAUCACUUACUUACUACCUUUGAUUUAGAUGCGUUGACUUCAACCCUCUAUAGCCUCUUUAUCCAAACUCCAAAUUCAUCAAAAAAUAUAUGAAAAGUAUAGUCAAAAAAGUUUUCUUUCCAAUCUUAGUCGCCGAUCUUUCAUUGUUCUUUGUAAACGUAUGUUAAGCCCCAAAGAGAGAAAGUAGGUAUGAAAUUAAUACCUUAACUUUGAGCACUAGUAACUACUUUAUUAAAACUCCAAAUCACACAAAAUUUGCAUCCAAUUCAUAUUCAAAAACCUAAACUUGAUGAUCCUAGCCUCCAAAACUCGAAUGAUUUCAACAAAAAAAACCCUAAUUCUUAAUAGAGCCUCAUGCAACCUCAUUGAAGCCCAUUGGGCAUGGCUUUCAACCAAUAGGAAUGAAUAUCUCCAUUCCUUG
rnacentral:lncRNA from 1 species